AGAGUUUGAUUAUGGCUCAGGAUGAACGCUAGCUACAGGCUUAACACAUGCAAGUCGAGGGGCAUCAGUUUGGUUUGCUUGCAAACCAAAGCUGGCGACCGGCGCACGGGUGAGUAACACGUAUCCAACCUGCCUCAUACUCGGGGAUAGCCUUUCGAAAGAAAGAUUAAUAUCCGAUAGCAUAUAUUUCCCGCAUGGGUUUUAUAUUAAAGAAAUUCGGUAUGAGAUGGGGAUGCGUUCCAUUAGUUUGUUGGCGGGGUAACGGCCCACCAAGACUACGAUGGAUAGGGGUUCUGAGAGGAAGGUCCCCCACAUUGGAACUGAGACACGGUCCAA
rnacentral:rRNA from 1 species